GCCAGCAGCCGCGGUAAUACGGAGGGUGCGAGCGUUAAUCGGAAUUACUGGGCGUAAAGCGUACGCAGGCGGUUUGUUAAGCGAGAUGUGAAAGCCCCGGGCUCAACCUGGGAACUGCAUUUCGAACUGGCAAACUAGAGUGUGAUAGAGGGUGGUAGAAUUUCAGGUGUAGCGGUGAAAUGCGUAGAGAUCUGAAGGAAUACCGAUGGCGAAGGCAGCCACCUGGGUCGACACUGACGCUCAUGUACGAAAGCGUGGGGAGCAAACGGGAUUAGAUACCCCGGUAGUCCACGCCGUAAACGAUGUCUACUAGAAGCUCGGAGCCUCGGUUCUGUUUUUCAAAGCUAACGCAUUAAGUAGACCGCCUGGGGAGUACGGCCGCAAGGUUAAAACUCAAAUGAAUUGACGGGGGCCCGCACAAGCGGUGGAGCAUGUGGUUUAAUUCGAUGCAACGCGAAGAACCUUACCUACACUUGACAUACAGAGAACUUACCAGAGAUGGUUUGGUGCCUUCGGGAACUCUGAUACAGGUGCUGCAUGGCUGUCGUCAGCUCGUGUUGUGAGAUGUUGGGUUAAGUCCCGUAACGAGCGCAACCCCUAUCCUUAGUUGCUAGCAGGUAAUGCUGAGAACUCUAAGGAGACUGCCGGUGAUAAACCGGAGGAAGGUGGGGACGACGUCAAGUCAUCAUGGCCCUUACGUGUAGGGCUACACACGUGCUACAAUGGCGCAUACAGAGUGCUGCGAACCUGCGAAGGUAAGCGAAUCACUUAAAGUGCGUCGUAGUCCGGAUUGGAGUCUGCAACUCGACUCC
rnacentral:rRNA from 1 species